rnacentral:lncRNA from 1 species
AUGGGGAAAUUAAGGCAGGGAGAGGAUUUGUCUGCAGUUCCACACAGAGAACAACAAAGGGAAGGUCGGGAUGGUGUCCUGGAACCCAGGUCCAGCACCUUCCUGUGGCCAAAGUCAUCUUACUACUCCUGGCUGGGGAGAUGCCUUCCUCCAGGUGUGUUUCCUUGUAUGUGUGUGGGGAGGGGGUGACUCCAUAGGAGAGUUCCCAGCAUGCACUGGUUUCCCAAGACAGCUAGUUUUCACCAAAAAUUUAGGCCUCAUAGAAGAGAUAAGGAACAAACCCAAAUUCCUACAUGCUUACCCUCCAUAGAGUUGAGGGCAUUAUGAAAUCUCUGCAGGCAGGCAUAUCUGAGAUCCCAGCACUUGGGAAAUGGAGACAAGGAGAAUGAGGGUGGUGACGGUGUUGAAGGUCCCAGUUGUAUGAAGUCCAUAAAACGUUCUUUCACAGCAGAAUAUUCCCUUCGGUCCCAAAACAGCAGUUUUGCAAACUCUCUAAAACAAAAUAGAAACCCAAGAAUAAAUAUUAGUGAAGACAGAAAAAGCAGGGAGAAGGAAGUGUUCUGAGAAAUGCAUCGCCCUGCCAAAUCCUGACCGGUUCCCUCAUCCCGAGGCCUCUCCCUCACAUGGAAACACGUGACACUGAAGGGGUGAUCCUCUGCUCAGACUUUCUUCAGAUGGGGAAAAAAAAAUAAAACCACAAACAGCUGACUGUGAGCCAGACUCCAGCUCAGAGCAGGCAUCCUAAUGACCUCAUCGGUAUACAAGCUGGAACUUGCUUCUCUCAGGCCUGCCUGGCUGCCAGCAUUCCUACUGACCAACUUAUGCAAGAGAGUCCUUGAGGAAAGAGGAGGCUGCCUGUGUGGGGCCUUCAUGCCUGAGCCACACAUGGAGAGACAUAGAAAAACCUGCAUCAGAGACUGGGGCUGAUGGCCUCUCACCCCAACCUCUGCUGUACCCCUCUUCAACGAGCCCCUUUCUUUGCUCACUAAAACAAAACACAUUCCUAAAUUAAACACUCGGUUACCUUCCAUGUGGGCCCAAGUGGAAAAGCCAAUGAAGGCCUGAGGCGAGUGGAUGAGUCAGAACCUGUCCACGGGAGUUUUACUAAAAGAUUCGGGAAAGCUGGAGGACCACAGGCGGCAGAGGACCCGAGGGGCCAAAGGGUUCAAAACUUCUGCAGGUUCGGGACUGGAGAGGAAGUCUCAGAAGCCAUGUAGAACAACCCUGCCACGUUGCAGAUGAGGGAACCACAGCCCAGAGGGUGGCGGAGCGGGGUGUCUUUCGCCGAGCUUAGAGCAGAAAGUAGGACUCUAACCUCCUGACUUGCUCCUGGGCCAACUACGGAAAAGUCCAGGCCCUGAGCAGCAAACUUUGCCUGGCUGGCAAGUUCUCCAGAGAUCUUCCUGACAUCAAAAUCCACGGAAUCUCCAGUGAGAUGCUGCAGAGAGGCAUGAAUGGGCAGGACGAGGGGCGGAUCAACCACAGAGAGUUCACCUGUUCUUGCAGAAACUGGCUGGGCCAGGUUCUCACGACCCAGGAAAGUUCUGAGUACAAAGAAGGAGAAUCCAGGCCUAGAGUUCCUCCACCCUGCUGCUGCUGCAUGGCAUGGAGUCACAAGAAAGUGGCAAGGAGAAACUGGUGUGAGAACAGAGGCGAGAAUCAGAGCCAAGCCAGCGUCUGGGAACCCAGAACCUUUGGCGCGGCGGCAGCCGCUAGGGUGCAGCUGUGGGCUGAUGUGGGGUUCACGCCAGGGGCGGAGCCGCGCAGGAGAUGAGCUGGCAGUGAUGGCGAGGAGGUUCGGUGUUGUGUUUCUACUGUAACUAUAAUUAGGCGGAUUCUGUGUUUAUUUAGGCUGAGAGCUGUAAGAUAAAUGACAGCUUCGAAGAUGCUUUUCAGCACUUCAUAAAUCACCCACCGGCCCGGGCAGUGUGCUUGUGUCUUGUCUCAGUUCUCGCUCGGUGCCCUGCCGGUCCCCCCAUUCACCUCGGAAGAGGGCACAGCCUGGAUGACCCAGGAGCCCACGCCACAAAGGCAAGAGGCAAAGGGGAAGGUGGUGUCUGUCCUUCUCUAAGCUCUCGGCGCCCCGGAAUCAGUGCCCAGCAGCUGCUUGGAAAGCUGUCAGGAAAAGCUUCCUCCAGAGGUGGUCCCCAGGCCCAGUGGGGAUGCGUUGACGGGCAGGCCUGCCCUCCUCUGGGAGAAUAUGGUCUCUAAUCGGCUCUAACUCUUCUCGCCCCCACCCCCGCCUCUCUGACACAGCUGGAGAUUUACGGGAGACACUGGAGAAAUAUUUAUAGUACAGAGAACCGUCUUUUCCCCUCCUAUGCCUGUCUGCGUCUCCUGGGGCUGGGGUGGAAGGGCCCAUGUCUUUUCCCAUUGGGGAGCACAUUCUGGGAUGGUGCUUCCCAGCGGGAGUUUGGAACUCCUUGGACAUCUGAAAGUAAAGAACCAGAGGGGAACCCAUCUCUCUCACCGAGGCCCAGUCCACUUAGGAGAAAGGGCAAUGGACCGAUGGGGCUUCAACUUCAAGCUUGAAAAACAAACAGAUUGCAGAAGCAUUUCCCUAGCAGAACAGCGAACAUACUUGUCUCUAGACCAGGCGCCUUUCCAGGUAGAUGUUUCCAAUCCUAGCUGUGACUAACAGGGUCCGAGUUAGACCGCAGGGGCAAUGAUACGGUUUCUAAGUGUUUGUCUGUGAACUAGGAGACUUUAAUUCAAAUCUUAGCUCCUCUUACAGCUGGGCUAUGUGUUUGCUCAGUCUGUGGACUUUGGCUUCUGUUCUCCAAAAAAGGGGACAAGCUAGACAUGGUGACCCAGGUCUGUAAUCCCAGCCCUGGGGAAACUAAAGCAAAGGGAUUGUGAGUUCAAACGCAGCCUGGGCUACCUAAGGGAUGCUGUGGUUGAGGACAAGGAGAAGGAGGCAUUUUCUAGGCUAAGUUCUGCCCUAGAAGGCAUACAGGCUUUUGGAAAUGUUGCUGUGUCUAUGGCAUUGAUUGUGUCUAUGGUUCCACAGUUGCUUACCUGUCUCCAAACUCAUCAAGCUGUAUACAUUAAACAUCUAAAGAGUUUUGUGUGUCAAGUAUGCCCCAAUGAAGCAGUUUGUUUUUAAAUGUAUGCAUAGGCUGGGGAGAUGGCUCCGUUGGUGAAGUGUCUACUAAGCAAGCAUGAAAGCAUGAAGACUUGAGCUCAGGUUCCCAGCACCCACAUAAAAGCCAAACACAGCAACCAUUAUCUGUAACCCCAGUACUGGGCCGUGGAGAAGAUGGGUUCCUAGAGUUUACAAGCCAGCCAGCCUAGCCAGCUGAUGACAUUCAAGACAAGUGAAAGGCCUAAUAUGACCUCUGACCUACACACACACAAGCACACAGGUGCAGGUGCACUCACACAUACACAUAUCCACACAAACACACACAUGUAGCAUACACAAGCACAGGUGGGCAGGCACACCCACAUGCAUGUAUAUACUCACGCAAACACAUACAUGCAACACACAGACACAAGAAAAAUGCAUGUAAAAUGUGAACAUCGGGCAGUGUGUUAACAAUUUCACAAAUUGAAUUUAGAAAAUGUAUUGUUGCACUCGUUCCUAAACGAUGCUUUAUCGUUGAGAAAUGAAUUAUGUCAUACUCAAAAUGACGGCAUGUUAUCAGCUGUCCUCAGCCCUGACAAAUUUCUUUGUGACAUUAUUAACAGCAUAACAGUGACAGUGAGAGGUAGCAACGUCAAUACUGACAAGGUCAAAUCGUCAAAGCCAAGAUCAUUUUGAAUGUCUACUGCAGGCUCAGGCUAUGCUGAAGAACUUGGCUCUGCUGCAGGUGGGAGGUAGAACUUGGUUUGUUUUUGUUUGUUUUUGUUUUGCUUCACCUAGAUCCCUCUGAUUAACUUAUCUCUAUCUUCUCAUUUCUUUUGAUUGUUCCAUUUAGUCAAUGUGUCUGGAAUGGGCUGGACACCCUGGCUAGAUGCUUAAGAUGAAUGUGAAUACUGGUUAAGUAUCUUUCCCUAGGAUGAGAGGUGGGAAG